GUCUGUUAGCUCAGUUGGCUAGAGCACUACUUCACUAACUUAGUUCAUUUAGGGGUCCUGGGUUCAAUUCUGAGCAUGGGCA